rnacentral:rRNA from 1 species
CCUACGGGCGGCAGCAGUGAGGAAUAUUGGUCAAUGGGCGGGAGCCUGAACCAGCCAAGUCGCGUGAGGGAAGACGGUCCUAUGGAUUGUAAACCUCUUUAGGCGGGGAGCAAUGCCGGGCACGUGUGCCCGGAGGGAGAGUACCCGCAGAAUAAGCAUCGGCUAACUCCGUGCCAGCAGCCGCGGUAAUACGGAGGAUGCGAGCGUUAUCCGGAUUUAUUGGGUUUAAAGGGUGCGUAGGCGGAUUUUUAAGUCAGCGGUAAAAUGUCCGGGCUCAACCGGUACAGGCUCUGGAAACUGGCGGGCUAGAGAGCAGGAGAGGGCGGUGGAACUCCAUGUGUAGCGGUAAAAUGCGUAGAUAUAUGGAAGAACACCAGUGGCGAAGGCGGCCGCCUGGCCUGUUAACUGACGCUGAGGCACGAAAGCAUGGGGAGCAAAUAGGAUUAGAUACCCGGGUAGUC